CCUACGGGAGGCAGCAGUGGGGAAUAUUGCACAAUGGGGGAAACCCUGAUGCAGCGAAGCCGCGUGAGUGAGGAAGUAUUUAGGUAUGUAAAGCUCUAUCAGCGGGGAAGAAAAUGACGGUACGUGACUCAGAAGCCUCGGCUAACUACGUGCACGAAGCCGCGGUCAUACGUCGGGGGCAAGCCUUAUCCGGAUUUACUGGGUGUAAAGGGAGCGUAGAGGGUUAAUAAAGUUCGGAGUGAAUACCCAGGGCUCAAACCUGGGACUGCUUUUGAAACUGAGUAGCUAGAGUGCAGGAGAGGUACGCGGAAUUCCUAGUGUAGCGGUGAAAUGCGUAGAUAUUAGGAGGAACACCAGUGGCGAAGGCGGCGUACUGGACUGUAACUGACGUUGAGGCUCGAAAGCGUGGGGAGCAAACAGGAUUAGAUACCCUUGUAGUC
rnacentral:rRNA from 1 species